rnacentral:lncRNA from 1 species
UAUAUAUAUAUUCGAGCUUUUCGAGCUUUUCGAGCCUAAUUCGAACGAGCCGAGUAAUACUCAAGCUCGGCUUGAAAUGAAUUUCGAGCCUUUUUUUUGGUUCAAGCUCGGCUCAUUUAAUUUCGAGUCGAGCUCGAGCGAGCCAAAUAUCGAGUCGAACGCGAGUCGAACGCGAGCCGGCUCGCUCAUUUGCCAGCCCUAAUCUUCCCCAUACGACCAUUUCUCUUUUCCAUGCAAUCGUUUCUCUUCCCCAUACGUUGUGGUUCUUCUUCUACUUUCGUCAUUUUCGUUUCCUUUAUUAUCUUGCUUUUUUCAGUGUAGAUUCAUUAAAAGGUGGGGUGGUGACUGAUUGAUCUGAUGCCUUCUUCGGCGGGAUCCGAGUCGAGGGCGCCAAUGCCGUCCGCUCCUCCCACUGCGUCGAUCCCGAUCUCCUCCGCAACACCACUAUCCACGACCUCCUCUCUACACUCCACAUCGCUGUCGUAAACAGCCGCGUCGAGGUCGGCUUCGUUUAAUCGCUUCCUUGUCUCUGAUUUUUUUGUUUUUUUUUUUGUUGGAAAUGAAAGAGAUGGAAGAGUUUUCGAAGAUGCAGAGAAAGAGAGAGGAGAAGAGUUGGCGAAUAUAGUUGGUGGUGUACCGGAAUCCGUGGUUGAGGAUAAGGAUGAGGUUCCCGGCAAUGUCGGUGGUAGUGGCGGCGACUCAGCCUCUUGCGAUUACGGCAACAAAGGGCUCUACCAUUAACAGGGGUUAGAGGUGAGGGUUAGCAUUCCGACACGCCAAUCGUCCCGUCCACGACGCCUUCUUUGUUUCUAUUGAUAAAUACUUUUUAUUUUUUAUUGGCAGCUUCUAUAGUGUCUACUCGCUGCGAAGCGCGGGUCUUUUCACUAGUAUUACAUGAUUCCUUUUCCAAGAUAAAAACCAUGCACAUAUACAGACGGAUUACAUCUAUACCUAUUUCCAAAACAAAUUUUCUAUACAUAUGAUUUCCAAAAAUACAAUUUUUUUUUUGUUCUGCCUGACAAUAUUUAUUUUGCAAUUGUUGACCUUGCUAUCUAUGGUCCGAUGCCCUUCUCUC